GACGAACGCUGGCGGCGUGCUUAACACAUGCCAGUCGAACGGAAAGGCCCUGCUUUUGUGGGGUGCUCGAGUGGCGAACGGGUGAGUAACACGUGAGUAACCUGCCCUUGACUUUGGGAUAACUUCAGGAAACUGGGGCUAAUACCGGAUAGGAGCUCCUGCUGCAUGGUGGGGGUUGGAAAGUUUCGGCGGUUGGGGAUGGACUCGCGGCUUAUCAGCUUGUUGGUGGGGUAGUGGCUUACCAAGGCUUUGACGGGUAGCCGGCCUGAGAGGGUGACCGGCCACAUUGGGACUGAGAUACGGCCCAGACUCCUACGGGAGGCAGCAGUGGGGAAUACUGCACAAUGGGCGGAAGCCUGAUGCAGCAACGCCGCGUGCGGGAUGACGGCCUUCGGGUUGUAAACCGCUUUCGCCUGUGACGAAGCGUGGGUGACGGUAAUGGGUAAAGAAGCACCGGCUAACUACGUG
rnacentral:rRNA from 1 species